rnacentral:rRNA from 1 species
AGAGUUUGAUCAUGGCUCAGGAUGAACGCUGGCGGCGUGCCUAACACAUGCAAGUCGAGCGAAGAUAGAGGAAGUACUUGUACAGAAUUUAUCUUAGCGGCGGACGGGUGAGUAACACGUGAGUAACCUGCCUUUCACUGGGGAAUAACAUCGAGAAAUCGGUGCUAAUACCGCAUAAUGUCAUAGGAUCACAUGGUUUUAUGACCAAAGGAGUAAUUCGGUGAAAGAUGGACUCGCGUCCGAUUAGGUAGUUGGUGAGGUAACGGCUCACCAAGCCCUCAAUCGGUAGCCGAACUGAGAGGUUGAUCGGCCACAUUGGGACUGAGACACGGCCCAGAUUCCUACGGGAGGCAGCAGUGGGGAAUAUUGGGCAAUGGGGGAAACCCUGACCCAGCAACGCCGCGUGAAGGAAGAAGGUCUUCGGAUUGUAAACUUCUUUGAUCAGGGACGAAGAAAUGACGGUACCUGAAGAACAAGCCACGGCUAACUACGUGCCAGCAGCCGCGGUAAUACGUAGGUGGCGAGCGUUAUCCGGAUUUACUGGGUGUAAAGGGCGUGUAGGCGGUUUUGCAAGUCAGAUGUGAAAUUCCCGGGCUUAACUCGGGCGCUGCAUCUGAAACUGUGAGACUUGAGUACUGGAGAGGAUAGUGGAAUUCCUAGUGUAGCGGUAAAAUGCGUAGAUAUUAGGAGGAACACCGGUGGCGAAGGCGGCUAUCUGGACAGUAACUGACGCUGAGGCGCGAAAGCGUGGGGAGCAAACAGGAUUAGAUACCCUAGUAGUCC